UCUCACAUAAAAAACAGCAUGGGGGAAUGCGACUGACACAACGUCGCUAGCUCUUGAACUGUAUGGGGAUUCCCCCCCCCCAUCCUGAUAGUUCCAACUUAGGAGAUUCAUUGGGGCCGGCGGUCCUCCCCAACGGAGGCCGCCUCAGAAGCUAUAACAGCAUCCUCCUUUAUACAUGCAUCACCACCCGCCUCAUCACCCUGCCACCUUCUCUUCACAAUAGG
rnacentral:lncRNA from 1 species